UUUUUCCGACGACGUUAAAAAGUUUGAACUAAACAAGGAGAACCAAGGUACACAUAGGCACACAGCCACUCUCCAACUGUAGGUAUGUACUCCCGAGAACGUAUCUGGUGAAACGACUAAACUGGUGCACCAGAUGCACCAGCUAUGUAUGGGCCGUUGGAUUUGAAAGAAAGGGACAUGAUUCAAUGUGAUGAUGGGCUGUCGGUACAUUUGCAAAAUAGUCCUUGCAAUACAGCUAAAUCCAGCGAUCUGACCUCUCUGUACCCACAUCAUCUUCCUCCCCUUGCCAUACUCUGUACCAGGCCGUCCAGCUGCGUGCUAGGGUUCGGGAAGUCUGCUCCGUCGCCUCUCUCGCCCCCUCUCCUUGACCUUAUCCCCCUUCUAUCUUGUACCUAGUUCCGGCGCCGUUGAAGCACGAGCUCCCCUCCUCUCCUCUGAGUCGCGCCCGACGAAGACGUCAUUGCCGCCGGCGAGCACGUAAAUGUAGAGGUGUUGUGCUGUAGCUCCUGGGGUGAAGAGGAACUUCCCAAAGGAGCCGGCUAUCUUCUGCGCCUCGAGGAUUUUAGGAUAUGUUCUCUUAUCUCAUUAUCCAUUUAUCAUGGUCAUAUUGGGUUCUUCCCAUUUGGGAUUUCCCCAAUUUAUUCCAAACUAGUAUCAUUGCGUACUUGAAUAAGUAGUAUGAGCACCAGAUUUCUGUAUGAGAUAUACGACUGCAGAUAUUGUACUGCAAAAUAGCCUAUGCAAAGUUGAAUAACUAGCGUUCUGAACCUUAAUAUGUAUUUUGUAGUAUAGAAAAACCAUAUUUAUGCAAACUCUAAAGUAAGGUUUGUGCAGCUGUGCAGUUGAAUAGGACCUAGCCAUCGUCCUUUAUAGCUCAGGAUCCAAGGUAUGAGCAUCGAAUUUGGUUGUUCUGUUAUCCAUGUACAGUCAUAUUUGCUUCUUCCAGGCCAUUCAGUUUCCCAUGUGUUUGAAGCCAAUGGCAUUUGGGAAUAUGAGAUUGAAAAGGGGUUCAGAGCAAACAGUGAACCAAAAGAAGAAGAGGGCAAAUAGCAUCCAAAAGGUUCCAGAUAAGUAGGGGCAGUGGUUUCACUAAUUUGAUGUUGGAAUAAUUAUGUGAAGUCAUACAGCUGGCUACAUUCUUGCUGGAAAUUGCAGUGAUAUUCAUAGGCGAAGAGGUUUUCGACUUUUGGUGUUUCCAGGAGCUCACAUUUGCAAAUGUGUCACUUAAGCAUGCAUAUGUUCUAUGUCUGUAACCUGGAUGUGGUCACUGUUAGCUUCAGGAAGUCGCUAACAGUAAACCAUGUUGUCUCAUUAUCCGUGUUUAACCAGGAAGAAAAGAUUGUAUGACCUAGCAAGGAAUUGCUAAGCCUAGCUUAAUGUAGGUUUGAAGAUUUGGUUUUUCUUUCUGUGUUAUUGUCAGUUGUAGCCAGCUUGCUAUAUGUCGUGCUCAUGUGAACACUUUCCGAAUUAGUGCAACCUUAUUACUA